UGUGCUGUGGUUUAGUUGGUUAAAGCGCCGGACUACCGAUACGGAGUCGUCUGUUCAAAUCCUAUCAAAACAA
rnacentral:tRNA from 1 species